rnacentral:rRNA from 1 species
UACGAAGGGGGCUAGCGUUGUUCGGAUUUACUGGGCGUAAAGCGCACGUAGGCGGAUCGUUAAGUCGGGGGUGAAAUCCUGGAGCUCAACUCCAGAACUGCCUUCGAUACUGGCGAUCUUGAGUUCGGGAGAGGUGAGUGGAACUGCGAGUGUAGAGGUGAAAUUCGUAGAUAUUCGCAAGAACACCAGUGGCGAAGGCGGCUCACUGGCCCGAUACUGACGCUGAGGUGCGAAAGCGUGGGGAGCAAACAGG